UCGAGGAUCUUCGUCAAUGGGCGCAAGCCUGAACGAGCGACGCCGCGUGUGCGAUGAAGGCCUUCGGGUUGUAAAGCACUGUCGAGGGGGAUCAAGGCCGCAAGGCUUGAGCGAUCCCUGGAGGAAGCACGGGCUAAGUUCGUGCCAGCAGCCGCGGUAAGACGAACCGUGCGAACGUUGUUCGGAAUCACUGGGCUUAAAGGGCGCGUAGGCGGCGGGCGAGGUCGGGGGUGAAAUCCCACAGCUUAACUGUGGAAGAGCCUUCGAUACCGGCUCGCUGGAGGAAGGUAGGGGUGCGCGGAACUUCUGGUGGAGCGGUGAAAUGCGUUGAUAUCAGAAGGAACGCCGGCGGCGAAAGCGGCGCACUGGACCUUUUCUGACGCUGAGGCGCGAAAGCCAGGGGAGCAAACGG
rnacentral:rRNA from 1 species